rnacentral:rRNA from 1 species
CAGGCUUAACACAUGCAAGUCGAGGGGUAGCAGGGAGCUUGCUCCGCUGACGACCGGCGAACGGGUGCGUAACGCGUAUAGAAUCUACCUCUUACUAAGGGAUAGCCCAGAGAAAUUUGGAUUAAUAUCUUAUAGUAUACAGACCUGGCAUCAGGAUUGUAUUAAAGGUUACGGUAAGAGAUGACUAUGCGUCCUAUUAGCUAGAUGGUGUGGUAACGGCACACCAUGGCUACGAUAGGUAGGGGCCCUGAGAGGGGGAUCCCCCACACUGGUACUGAGACACGGACCAGACUCCUACGGGAGGCAGCAGUGAGGAAUAUUGGACAAUGGAGGCAACUCUGAUCCAGCCAUGCCGCGUGCAGGAAGACUGCCCUAUGGGUUGUAAACUGCUUUUAUACAGGAAGAAACACUCUCACGUGUGAGAGCUUGACGGUACUGUAAGAAUAAGGAUCGGCUAACUCCGUGCCAGCAGCCGCGGUAAUACGGAGGAUCCAAGCGUUAUCCGGAAUCAUUGGGUUUAAAGGGUCCGUAGGUGGAUGAUUAAGUCAGAGGUGAAAUCCUGGCCCUGCAACUGUAAAAUUGCCUUUGAUACUGGUU